rnacentral:rRNA from 1 species
GACGAACGCUGGCGGCGUGCUUAACACAUGCAAGUCGAACGGAAAGGCCCUGCUUUUGUGGGGUGCUCGAGUGGCGAACGGGUGAGCAACACGUGAGUAACCUGCCCUUGACUUUGGGAUAACUUCAGGAAACUGGGGCUAAUACCGGAUAGGAGCUCCUGCUGCAUGGUGGGGGUUGGAAAGUUUCGGCGGUUGGGGAUGGACUCGCGGCUUAUCAGCUUGUUGGUGGGGUAGUGGCUUACCAAGGCUUUGACGGGUAGCCGGCCUGAGAGGGUGACCGGGGGCGGUGGGGCGGGGGGACGGGCCGGACGGCUACGGGAGGCAGCAGUGGGGAAUAUUGCACAAUGGGCGGAAGCCUGAUGCAGCAACGCCGCGUGCGGGAUGACGGCCUUCGGGUUGUAAACCGCUUUCGCCUGUGACGAAGCGUGAGUGACGGUAAUGGGUAAAGAAGCACCGGCUAACUACGUG